rnacentral:rRNA from 1 species
UAGCGUAGGGCGCAAGCGUUAUCCGGAAUUAUUGGGCGUAAAGAGCUCGUAGGCGGUUUGUCGCGUCUGCCGUGAAAGUCCGGGGCUCAACUCCGGAUCUGCGGUGGGUACGGGCAGACUAGAGUGAUGUAGGGGAGACUGGAAUUCCUGGUGUAGCGGUGAAAUGCGCAGAUAUCAGGAGGAACACCGGUGGCGAAGGCGGGUUGCUGGGCUGACACUGACGCUGAGGCGCGAAAGCCAGGGGAGCAAACGGG